rnacentral:rRNA from 1 species
UACGGGGGAUGCAAGCGUUAUCCGGAAUCAUUGGGCGUAAAGCGCCUGUAGGUUGUUUAAUAAGUCUGUUGUUAAAGACCAGGGCUUAACCCUGGGAAAGCAAUGGAAACUACUAGACUUGAGUAUGAUAGGGGUAGAGGGAAUUUCUAGUGUAGCGGUGAAAUGCGUAGAUAUUAGAAAGAACACCGGUGGCGAAGGCGCUCUACUGGAUCAUUACUGACACUCAGAGGCGAAAGCUAGGGUAGCAAAAGGGAUUAGAUACCCCUGUAGUCCUAGCCGUAAACGAUGGAUACUAGAUGUUGCGUUUUAUAUGCAGUAUCGUAGCUAACGCAUUAAGUAUCCCGCCUGGGGAGUACGCUCGCAAGGGUG